ACCUCUCAUUGGCAUGUUUAUUUUGGUUAUACCAGGGUAGCUUGGGCGUGUAGACCUCCUGGGAAGCGAAAUUCAUGCCCGUUAAAUAUCACAGUCAGAGUGCUCUUUAACCCAGAAAAAUGAAACUGAGAGACGUUUUUCAUGUCAGUUUUUCCCUGGUUUGUUUCUUGUUUAGUGCAGUAACAUUCAUCCAGCUGAUAUUUUUCUUGUCCCACUUACCGAAGGAUGAAGAGAGUCAUUUAAAAGAUGACAUACGUGGUUUUGAGGAUGCCAUAUGGCCUUUGCUGGUUGAUUUAGCAUUACUUUAUUUGUUUGUUUUGCAACAUUCUGUAAUGGCAGAACCAGAUGUAAAAGAUUUUUUUUUGUCUCAUGGUGCUUCAGUGAUCCAGCGAAGCAUUUAUGUUCUUCUGUCAUCUGUGGUUCUGCAGGUUGUUUUCCACUAUUGGCAGUAUGUCCCAUGGCUAACGCUUUGGCACAUUGAUACUACACAGAGCAGUAUAAAACUGUGGUGUUUUGCAGUGAUUCACUGCUGUGCUUGGAUAAUGACGUAUGCAGGAGUGAUCAACAUGGAUGUGCUGGAUUUGUUGGGAGUGAAGCAGGUGUAUUUUGACAUUAAUGGCUGGGGGCAACCAGAUAUAUACAAGUCAGCAGAGCUUAGACGUUUUUACCAACAUAUGCGCCAUCCAACAUUUCUGGGGUUUUUGACCAUUUUCUGGUUGUAUCCUAUAAUGAGUAUUGAUCGUUUACUUCUGGCAUUUAUAUGGACAGGUUACAUGAUAAUUGGUUGGAACGUUGAUCGCAAAGACUUGUUGUAUAUUAAAAAACAAUUUAAUAACAAGAUGGUGGAGCUUUCUCCAAAUAAAUACCUUACUUUUUAUGAGAGAAGCAAGCUUUCAUAAUGAUGUCUAUUUGACAGAGGUUCUUCAGAAGUAAAGCAAAACUCUUUUGAGCAAAUAUAACUGGAAAACAUUAUAUUAGGUUUUGUGUGAACUUGGCUGCUAAUUUAUACAAAAAAAUAACAAAUGGAUUCUGCUGAUAAGCAUAUAAAACCAGAAACAUCAGUUGGUCUGCAUCCUUUUUUGUGGUGACUUACUAUUGCAUAAAUUACACUCUCUUAGCACUGUUUGAAUAAGGUUACCCAAUGAAGAAUAAUAGCACAUAUUUUCAGAAAGGCUUACCUUUGUGUUAUCUAGAUGUAAUAUUAUAACUUUCAUUUUGAGAAUGUUUACAGUACUUAUUGGAAGAGAGUUAAGUUAUAUGAGACAGUGAAGAGACAAAUAAAUAUACCCAUUCUCCCAAUGGUCUUUAAUCAUUGAAAAGAAUUGGCAAUUGUCAGUACACAUGUAAAAACCACAUAUGUUUUCACAAAUUGAGGUGUAAUACUUAAAACACCAAAGCAAUACGAAGUUAACAUUGCCCCGUACAAAAUUUACAUGUGAUGAUCUCAUAAUGUAACAUUUUUUGUUUUCACAUGUCAUGCUUCUCAUAUCAGUGUGGUGUGUUUAUUAAUAGUGAGUGAUUGAUUGAAAACUUUUCAAGUGCUAGUCCUCAGCGCUUUAACAGAUACACAGAGUUGCAAGAAACUUGUAGCCUUUGUAUUUGAUAAAUGAAUAAUUACUUUUCUCCCAUUUAUUUCAGUCUGUUAAUGGAUACAUUAUUUAUAAACAUAGCAAUAAUAGUAUUGGAUUGUUGUAGCAUAAUUACCAUUUCAUUAUGCUUCAAAGCUAUAGUUGUGCUGCAUUUAAGAUUAUACUGUGUGUGCUACUUUCAUUUAGGAAAUUGUUUAGGAUAUGAACUAUACUAUACAGUUUUUCUAUCUAAUUAUAUGUCUUGGGCCUUUCAGAGAGAAUAGUCCUUUUAAGCCUUACUUGUAUUAAUUCCAGUAGUAAAGGCAUAAACUUCUAAUCUUUUUAAACUUAUUUGUCAGUAUUAAUAACCACUUAAUUUUCUCUCACUUACAUUUUAUAUAUAUGUGCCACCAGAACCUUUUGUAAUCCCAUCAAGGCAGUAUACUCUUUGCUAAAUAAGUUUGCCUUACAGUGUGCAACGCUUUUUUUGUUCUGAGUAAUGAUGAUCACAAGUCAGUGUACUACUUUUAUUUUAAUGAUGAUUCUUGAAACAUGCAUUUUGUAUGGCUGUGACCAUUACAAAGAAUUUGGUCAUGUAAAUACCAAACAGUGUAGUGCAAUAAAUGGUGCUUAUUGACAAUCAUAUUCAGCUUAUCACAGCCUUAAAACUUAAUAUCUGUAUUUUAUUAUAAAUUAUACUUAACACUAUAUCUGCAGUAAUAAUUAUAACUAUGCACUGAUCAAGGAGUUUUUGUGCUAAGGAUGUUAAUGAUAUGCUGUUGAUUUUUUUACGGUGUUAUUUAAUAUUUUUACAGAGUAUAUUUAAGAAGAGUUAUUUAUU